CCUACGGGAGGCUGCAGUGGGGGAUAUUGCACAAUGGGGGAAACCCUGAUGCAGCGACGCCGCGUGGGCGAAGAAGUAUUUCGGUAUGUAAAGCCCUAUCAGCAGGGAAGAAGAAAUGACGGUACCUGAGUAAGAAGCACCGGCUUAAUACGUGCCAGCAGCCGCGGUAAUACGUAUGGUGCAAGCGUUAUCAGGAUUUACUGGGUGUAAAGGGAGCGCAGGCGGCACGGCAAGCCUGAUGUGAAAGCCAGCGGCCCAACCGCGGGACUGCAGUGGGAACUACAGGGCUGGAGUGCCGGAGAAGUAGGCGGAAUUCGUGGUGUAGCGGUGAAAUGCGUAGAUAUUAGGAGGAACACCAGUGGCGAAGGCGGCCUACUGGACGGUGACUGACGCUGAGGCCCGAAAGCGUGGGGAGCGAACAGGAUUAGAUACCCUUGUAGUC
rnacentral:rRNA from 1 species